UGGUGAUAUGCCUGAUAAAAGGGUUAUUUUGAUAGAAUAAAUAAUAUUAAUAAAAUUAAUUUUCACUAA
rnacentral:tRNA from 1 species